ACGGGAGGCAGCAGUGGGGAAUAUUGCACAAUGGGGGAAACCCUGAUGCAGCGACGCCGCGUGAGUGAAGAAGUAUUUCGGUAUGUAAAGCUCUAUCAGCAGGGAAGAUAAUGACGGUACCUGACUAAGAAGCACCGGCUAAAUACGUGCCAGCAGCCGCGGUAAUACGUAUGGUGCAAGCGUUAUCCGGAUUUACUGGGUGUAAAGGGAGCGCAGACGGCAGAGCAAGUCUGAAGUGAAAGCCCCGGGCUCAACCCGGGAACUGCUUUGGAAACUGUUUUGCUAGAGUGUCGGAGAGGUAAGUGGAAUUCCUAGUGUAGCGGUGAAAUGCGUAGAUAUUAGGAGGAACACCAGUGGCGAAGGCGGCUUACUGGACGAUAACUGACGUUGAGGCUCGAAAGCGUGGGGAGCAAACAGGAUUAGAUACCCUGGUA
rnacentral:rRNA from 1 species